rnacentral:rRNA from 1 species
AUGAACGCUAGCGACAGGCUUAACACAUGCAAGUCGAGGGGCAGCAUGGUCAGUAGCAAUACCGACUGAUGGCGACCGGCGCACGGGUGAGUAACGCGUAUGCAACCUGCCCUGUACAGGGGGAUAGCCCAUGGAAACGUGGAUUAAUAUCCCAUAGUAAUCAUGAUAGGCAUCUAUUUUGAUUUAAAUCUUCGGAGGUACAGGAUGGGCAUGCGUCCUAUUAGAUAGUUGGCGGGGUAACGGCCCACCAAGUCUUUGAUAGGUAGGGGUUCUGAGAGGAAGGUCCCCCACACUGGUACUGAGACACGGACCAGACUCCUACGGGAGGCAGCAGUGAGGAAUAUUGGUCAAUGGGCGAUAGCCUGAACCAGCCAAGUCGCGUGAGGGAAGACUGCCCUAUGGGUUGUAAACCUCUUUUGUAAGUGGAGAAUAAGCGUUACGUGUAGCGCGAUGACUGUAACUUACGAAUAAGCAUCGGCUAACUCCGUGCCAGCAGCCGCGGUAAUACGGAGGAUGCGAGCGUUAUCCGGAUUUAUUGGGUUUAAAGGGUGCGUAGGCGGCACUAUAAGUUAGUGGUAAAAUUUCCGGGCUUCACCCGGAUUCGCCAUUAAUACUGUAGAGCUCGAGUACAGACGAGGUAGGCGGAAUAAGUUAAGUAGCGGUGAAAUGCAUAGAUAUAACUUAGAACUCCGAUAGCGAAGGCAGCUUACCAGACUGUAACUGACGCUGAUGCACGAGAGCGUGGGUAUCGAACAGGAUUAGAUACCCUGGUAGUCCACGCCGUAAACGAUGCUCACCGGCCCUUAGCGAUAUAGAGUUAGGGGUUAAUCGAAAGAAUUAAGUGAGCCACCUGGGGAGUACGUCGGCAACGAUGAAACUCAAAGGAAUUGACGGGGGCCCGCACAAGCAGUGGAGUAUGUGGUUUAAUUCGAAGCAACGCGAAGAACCUUACCUGCUCUUGACAUCCCACUGACCGGUCAGUAAUGUGACCUUUUCUUCGGAACAGUGGAGACAGGUGGUGCAUGGUUGUCGUCAGCUCGUGCCGUGAGGUGUCGGGUUAAGUCCCAUAACGAGCGCAACCCUUAUCACUAGUUGCCAUCAGGUAAUGCUGGGCACUCUAUUGAGACUGCCACCGUAAGGUGAGAGGAAGGGGGGGAUGACGUCAAAUCAGCACGGCCCUUACACCCAGGGCGACACACGUGUUACAAUGGCCGGUACAGAGGGUCGCUACCUGGUGACAGGAUGCUAAUCUCGAAAUCCGGUCGUAGUUCGGAUUGGAGUCUGUAACCCGACUCCAUGAAGUUGGAUUCGCUAGUAAUCGCGCAUCAGCCAUGGCGCGGUGAAUACGUUCCCGGGCCUUGUACACACCGCCCGUCAAGCCAUGGAAGCCGGGAGUACCUGAAGUCCGUAACCGCAAGGAUCGGCCUAAGGUAAUACUGGUAACUGGGGCU